rnacentral:rRNA from 1 species
GAUGAACGCUAGCGGGAGGCUUAACACAUGCAAGUCGAGGGGCAGCAUAGGGUAGCAAUACUCUGAUGGCGACCGGCAAACGGGUGAGUAACGCGUAUGCAACCUACCCUGUACAGGGGGAUAACCCGGAGAAAUUCGGACUAAUAUCCCGUAAUAAUAUCCGGAGGCGUCUUUGGAUAUUUAAAGUUUCGACGGUACGGGAUGGGCAUGCGUAACAUUAGCUGGUUGGUAAGGUAACGGCUUACCAAGGCUAUGAUGUUUAGGGGUCCUGAGAGGGUGGUCCCCCACACUGGUACUGAGACACGGACCAGACUCCUACGGGAGGCAGCAGUGAGGAAUAUUGGUCAAUGGGCGCAAGCCUGAACCAGCCAUCCCGCGUGCAGGAAGACGGCCCUAUGGGUUGUAAACUGCUUUUCCAGGGAGAGAAACUUACGCACGUGUUGCGUGACUGACGGUACCCUGGGAAUAAGCAUCGGCUAACUCCGUG